AGGUGGAUGAUGACAAGACCACUGCACAAUCUGAGUUCUUGGAAACUCGAUAAUGGAGCUCUAAGAACGGACUGAGACCG